CUGGAUGAGGACAAGGAAGUUGCAGCAGCAUCUGGGAAGUCGACUGGUGGCCGCGUCUCCAAUGGCGUGUCAAACAUUUUAACGUUUCUUAACAUGCAAGGUAAAUAAAGAAUGAAAAGAAAUACUUUCAAAUGUCUUAAAUACAAAGGGUGUUAUAAACAAGUGUAUGAGGGGAUUAGGCGCGCACAAAAUCCAUCAAAUAUCAAACACAAAUAUCUCCGUCAGAUCUGAAACACAAAUAUAUCUGCAAUUUUUUUUUCGAUA
rnacentral:lncRNA from 1 species